AGGCAAUCGCGUGUUGGGCCCAGAAUCCCGGACUCGCGGCGAGUGUGACCGUUACAGGGAGCCCGUGGCCAAGGACGGGAGAGGGCGGGAGGGGUGACAGCGCUAGGACCCGGGGAGGGAAAGCGGGCUGCGAGAUGUCCCGGCUCAUUGUGAAGAACCUGCCGAGCGGGAUGAAGGAUGAACGUUUUAAGACGCUAUUUGGUGCUUUUGGAACAUUAACAGACUGCGCAUUGAAGUUCACAAAAGAUGGAAAAUUUCGAAAGUUUGGAUUUGUUGGCUUCAAAACAGAAGAGGAAGCACAAGUUGCUUUAAAACACUUCAAUAAGAGCUACAUAGACACUUCCAGAAUUAUUGUGGAGCUUUGUAAAUCAUUUGGGGAUCCAGGAUUGUCCAGACCAUGGAGCAAACACUCGCAGAAGAAUCCAACUGGGCAAAUUCCAGAAAAGACGAAACAACAAAAAUGCAAAAAUGAAGGAAAAAAGGAUAAACAGAAGAAUCCUGUCAUUGAAAACCUGGAGCAUUUGAAGGAAGAGGAUGAAUUUGAGGAAUUUCUGGCAGUACAUCAGAGCCGUCCCAGUGUACCAACCUGGACUAAUGAUACCUUACCUGCAAAGAAGAAGGAUGCUACACAGUUGGCUGAUUAUCUGAACUUUGAUUCAGAAGACUCUGAAGGUUCCGAAGAAUUGAGUGAGGAGCAGGAGGACACUAUUGAAGAAGCAAAAAGCAAACAAAAGCAAACACAGGAAAAUGUUGCUUUGAAAAAUGAAGUAUCUGACAUGGAUUACUUAAGGUCAAAAAUAGUGAAGAUUGAAGGCAAAUCUGAAACUGAUGAUGAAUCUGAAGCAGAUGAUGAAAAUAAUCUGAAAUCAUUCACUGAAGGAAGUAGACUAUUACAUACAGACAGCAAUUGUGAAAGUGGACAAAAAAGGCGGGAUAACAAACCAGCACAGAGGAAUAAAACAGAACUGGAGAAAAAAACUCACCAAAAUGAACCUACCACACCAUAUACUUUGAAGAUGCGAGGAGCUCCCUUCAGUGUGAAAGAGAAACAAAUAAGAGAAUUCUUUGUUCCAACGAAACCUGUGGCUGUCCGAAUUGUCAAAAAUGCAAAUGGAAACACAACAGGUUAUAUAUUUGUUGAUUUUGAGUCGGAAGGUGAUCUUGAAAAGGCUUUGCAAAGAAAUAAAGACUAUAUGGGUGGAAGAUAUAUUGAACUUUUUAGGGAGAGUUAUGCUCGAACAACUAAACCAGAUAGAAAAAAUAAUGACCAAAAAUGGCUAAAAAGAGAAAAGAAAGAUGAUGAGGAGGAAGAGGAUCUUUCUGACUCGGGACGAUUGUUUGUUCGAAACUUAUCUUAUAUGUGUACAGAAGAAGACUUAGAGAAAGUAUUUUCUAAAUAUGGACCGUUAGCGGAGAUUCAUUUUCCUAUAGACAGCCUAACGAAGAAACCAAAAGGCUUUGCUUUCAUUACGUACAUGAUGCCUGAACAUGCUGUGAAGGCCUUUGCUGAAUUAGAUGGGGAAGUGUUUCAGGGCAGAAUGAUGCACAUUUUACCAUCUACAGUAAAAAAGGAGACCACUCAAGACAGUGAAACAUCAGGCCUCUCUACUUACAAGAGAAAUAAAGCUGCUAAUGACAAGGCCAGCAGUAGCAGUUCACAUAACUGGAAUACUUUAUUUAUGGGAACUAAUGCUGUUGCUGAUGCAAUAGCAGCAAAAUAUAAUGCUACAAAAAGCCAAGUCCUGGAUCAUGAAGGAAAAGGCAGUGUUGCAGUCCGCAUGGCCCUGGGUGAGACACAGAUAGUACAAGAGACCAGGCAGUUCUUGAUAGAUAAUGGAGUUAGGUUGGACUCCUUCAGUCAGGGUGCUGGGAAGAGAAGUAAAACUGUUAUCCUUGUAAAGAAUAUUCCUGUUGGAACACAUGUGGAAGAAUUGGAGAAAGUAUUUAAGAAAUUUGGAGAUGUUGCACGUGUUUUACUUCCAUCAGCUGGUGUAACAGCCAUUGUGGAAUUUCUAGAACCUACAGAAGCAAAACAGGCAUUUACAAAGCUUGCAUAUUCCAAGUUCCAGCAUGUACCACUCUAUCUCGAGUGGGCUCCCAUGGAUGUGUUCUGUACCACAACCCCAGAGUCUAAGAAAUCUGAAAAGAAACAAAGUAGUGUAGAUGAGGACGACCAAGCAAAGGAUGAAAAUGAAGCAGAUAAUUUGAGUGAGGGUGACGAAGAGCACCUUCCGGGAUGUACUUUAUUUGUGAAAAAUUUAAAUUGUUUGACAACUGAAGAAACAUUGAUGAAGACAUUUGAAAAGUGUGGAUCAUUGAAAAGUUGCAGUAUAUCAAAGAAGAAAGACAAAACAGGUUCUCUUUUAUCAAUGGGGUAUGGUUUUGUGGAAUAUGCAAAAUCUGAGUCUGCCAACAAAGCACUAAAACUGCUGCAGCAUUGUAUGGUGGAUGGUCAUCAACUAGAGUUGAAGAUAUCAAACAGAGCUACAAUCACUGUGAAUCCAGCAAGGAAAUUCCAGAAAGCAAAAAAGCAAACGGUUUCCAAAAUCCUGAUUCGUAAUAUUCCGUUCCAGACAAAAGUGAAGGAAAUCCGUGAGCUUUUCAGUACCUUUGGAGAAAUAAAGACUGUGCGAUUACCUAAAAAAAUGGGUGGAACUGGUGCACACAGGGGCUUUGGAUUUGUAGACUUUCUCACAAAACAAGAUGCAAAGAAAGCCUUCAAUGCUCUUUGCCAUAGCACUCACUUGUAUGGUCGACGAUUAGUACUGGAAUGGGCAGACUCCGAAGAUACAGUGGAGACAUUACGCAGAAAGACAGCUGAACAUUACCAUGAUUCUCUGAAAAAGAAAAGACAGUCAGAGAUCCUGGAUGAAAUUAUGGAAGGAAAAGACUAGAUCAUUUUAUUUAAAAUACACUUAGACCUCGGUAAAAUUAAACCUGAAUGUGUAUGUAACUACUUGGCGACUAGUACAUGAGAAACAACAGGCCAAAUGUGUCUGUAGCUGUCUCAACUGGAGAUUGUUUUUGACCACUUCAAACAGGUAUCAGGCAAACUGUGAAAUGGUUACAGGCAGCUAUCAAAACUAAAGACCUAUAUGAACAAGAACCUGAGAGAAGAAAUAAGGCCUUGGUCCCAUCAGCAAGUUGGAAGAAGUCAAAUGACCGUGUGUUUUGAACUGAAAUGGCUGCAUUGUGAGGAUUCUUAACUGCAAACAGUACAACCUGCACAAACUCUGAUAGAUAUCAGUGCCUGUUUGCAGUCCAGUCAUAAAUCAUGAUGCAUGAAUGGCAUGCUCUACAACCUAUUGAGCAACGUUUGUGAAAAGUAGCAGUAGUGUAAUCGAUUUUUGAACUCCCAUCUCAAACACAUGAUGAAAAACCGUUGUGCCAACUGGUUAUGUAUUCAUGGAAUACUAAAUAAACUUUAUGAGGUAAUUUGAAGCCUGACACAUAGUGACUGGAAGAUGAAAACUAAUAGCUGAAGAAAUCUUCCAUGCACAUGAAUAUUGUGCAGUUGUAUUGAUCCUGCUAUUGGAGAGAGAGAGAAUACAGUAACUUCUCUACAUCAGUCAUAAGUAUGAGAAUGUGGAUAGUCAGUUCUUUAUUGUUGGUUUUCAAGAUUAGUAGCAAAGAGUUUUACUGAAUUUCUAUCUUUGAACUUAAAACAUGCAAUUUGAUAGCAAACUGUUCCUAAUGAACCAUUGCUUUUGGUAUGCUUAAGCUAGUAAAACGCUUCGUCCUGUGUUUAUGAAAUCUUCAUCAUAUCUAAUAGCAUUUUCUUAAAAGUUGGAUAUUUUUACAUAAUGCAAUAAAAGAUUCACACUGUAUAGUAUUACAUGUUGCAUUUAGUAGUGAAAUAUUUGGCACAUCAUGCAUUUAAACAUGUGGCAUGUUUGGGCGUAGCAGAAUGGAAAAUUUAGAUAGAUGAUGAGUAUAUCCUUGUGGCCCUGAUGUGAAUUUUGAAAAUGAGUUUCAUAUGGAAUAUCACAUUUUCCGUAAUAUGCUUUCUUGGAAAACAUAUUAUGGAAAAUGUAACAUUCCGUAUGAAACUCAUUUUUCUUGAAAAGCCUAAUUAUUUGGUGCUUAUGUAAGUCUCUGAAAACAUUGGUUUCAAGGGAUGUAGUACCACAGGCAUUAAGGAGCAAUUACACCUGUAUGUUGCAUGUGUGUACAUGCAUAAUGGGUGCUGAAAUCUGAGUUCAAGUUUGAAGUAUGUGUUUCCUUUAUUGCAUACAUGUGAAUGUGCAUAGCAACUCACUAAAAUUUCACGUCGAAGUGUUGAAAUUUUCCAGUCUUCCGCAGUUUAGCUUUAAAGCAGUAGCCAACUGAAUUGCCAAAGAUGAGCUUAAAAGUGGAUCUAUUGUCAUUUAAUAUUAUAGCACUUUAAGCAUUUUUGCCCCUCAGUUUAUGCCAAAUUUAUGUUACUAUUAGUGCUGUCUAUGCGCUGUUCCAUUUCCAGUACAUAAUCAUAUAUUAGGUAAUUUUUAUUGUCAAUGUACAGCCUAAUAUUGAAAUAGAGUCCAACAUA